ensembl:snoRNA
UGGAUCGAUGAUGUUCGCUGUUGGCGGUGGCGUAUGAGUCUUCUACGAUGAAUACGUGUGAAUCUGAGGUCCAA